UACGAAGGGGGCGAGCGUUGUUCGGAUUUACUGGGCGUAAAGGGCGCGUAGGCGGCCCGCCUUGUCGCGUGUGAAAGCCCCGGGCUCAACCUGGGAAUGGCAUUGGAAACUGGCUGGCUGGAGUGUGGCAGAGGGGGGUGGAAUUCCACGUGUAGCAGUGAAAUGCGUAGAGAUGUGGAGGAACACCGAUGGCGAAGGCAGCCCCCUGGGCCAACACUGACGCUCAGGCACGAAAGCGUGGGGAGCAAACAGG
rnacentral:rRNA from 1 species